rnacentral:lncRNA from 1 species
CCCUUCGCGCUGGAUUGUCAGCGUCUGGCGGAGAAGGGCGCGUUGCUGUGUGGGAGAGAGGACAGGCGUGAUGGAGGUGGCGGCGAUUCAUCGUCAUAUGACCCGCUGCGGGAGAAAAAAAAUGAGAGACAUGACGAGGAUGGUGUACUAUCGAAGAAGAGUAGAGACGCAAAGCGAAUAGCUCUGAGCCUGCCACCGACACCCGAUCAACCAAUGCACGGGAAAUGAACGGUUUGGAUUAGCCGGUGACGUGGCUUAAUGAGGGCGCGAGAAAUACCUGAGAACCUGACCAGCUUUCGUAUUAUAGAGAUGUCCCCUCUCGUCAUGGUGUGUACAUGACCAGCAACAAGUCAAUUGUGAAUAGUCAAAUCUUCGUAGAGGGGCCACGCCAUGACGACAUGCCGAACUUCCAGCAUCUAUUUGUAACUUCUUUCUCCCUCCCUCUGUCUCUAGCUGUCAGCUUGGAAUGAUUCAACCACACACCCCUAUAUAACGGGUUCCACGCUACCACUACUUCAC